rnacentral:rRNA from 1 species
CCAGCAGCUGCGGUAAUUCCAGCUCCAAUAGCGUAUAUUAAAGUUGUUGCAGUUAAAAAGCUCGUAGUUGGAUUUCUGGUCGUGUGCGGGAUGUCCGUGUCCCAGAUGGGAUGUGUGUACGCCUCGUACCGAUCAAUUCUUCUGGAGGUCCGCAGUGCUCUUCACUGAGUUGCUGUUGGUUACGUCCAGAUCAUUUACUUUGAGAAAAUUAGAGUGUUCAAAACAGGCAUGAGUUGCCGUGUAUACGUUAGCAUGGAAUAAUAAGAUAGGACUUCGGUCGUAUUUUGUUGGUUUCUACAGCCGAAGUAAUGAUUGAUAGGGAUAGUUGGGGGUGCUAGUAUUCUGCGGCCAGAGGUGAAAUUCUGUGAUUCGCGGAGGACUGACUUAUGCGAAAGCAUUCACCAAGGAUGUCUUCUUUAAUCAAGAACGAAAGU